rnacentral:rRNA from 1 species
AACGCGAAGAACCUUACCAGGGCUUGACAUGCCCCUGACCGUCCUAGAGAUAGGAUUUUACCUUCGGGUACAGGGGACACAGGUGGUGCAUGGUUGUCGUCAGCUCGUGUCGUGAGAUGUUGGGUUAAGUCCCGCAACGAGCGCAACCCUUGCCUUUAGUUGCUACCAUUAAGUUGAGCACUCUAGAGGGACUGCCGAUGACAAAUCGGAGGAAGGUGGGGAUGACGUCAAAUCAUCAUGCCCUUUAUGUCCUGGGCUACACACGUGCUACAAUGGUCGGUACAGCGAGCAGCGACUUAGUGAUAAGGAGCAAAUCUCUUAAAGCCGAUCCCAGUUCGGAUUGUAGGCUGCAACUCGCCUACAUGAAGUCGGAGUUGCUAGUAAUCGUGAAUCAGAAUGUCGCGGUGAAUGCGUUCCCGGGUCUUGUACACACCGCCCGUCACACCAUGGGAGUUGGCAAUACCCGAAGCCAGUGAGCUA